rnacentral:rRNA from 1 species
CUUAACACAUGCAAGUCGAGGGGUAUUGGUUUUCGGACCAAGAGACCGGCGCACGGGUGCGUAACGCGUAUGCAAUCUACCUUUUGCAGAGGGAUAGCCCAGAGAAAUUUGGAUUAAUACCUCAUAGUAUAGCAGUUUCGCAUGAGACCACUAUUAAAGUCACAACGGCAAAAGAUGAGCAUGCGUCCCAUUAGCUAGUUGGUAAGGUAACGGCUUACCAAGGCAACGAUGGGUAGGGGUCCUGAGAGGGAGAUCCCCCACACUGGUACUGAGACACGGACCAGACUCCUACGGGAGGCAGCAGUGAGGAAUAUUGGACAAUGGGCGCAAGCCUGAUCCAGCCAUGCCGCGUGCAGGAUGACGGUCCUAUGGAUUGUAAACUGCUUUUGUACAGGAAGAAACACCUCUACGUGUAGAGAUUUGACGGUACUGUAAGAAUAAGGAUCGGCUAACUCCGUGCCAGCAGCCGCGGUAAUACGGAGGAUCCAAGCGUUAUCCGGAAUCAUUGGGUUUAAAGGGUCCGUAGGCGGUUUAGUAAGUCAGUGGUGAAAGCCCAUCGCUCAACGGUGGAACGGCCAUUGAUACUGCUAGACUUGAAUUAUUAGGAAGUAACUAGAAUAUGUAG